rnacentral:rRNA from 1 species
AGAGAGAGACAUGCGCGCAUAUCAAUAAGCGGAGGAAAAGAAACUAACAAGGAUUCCCUUAGUAACGGCGAGUGAAGCGGGAAGAGCUCAAAUUUGAAAUCUUCAAGGUUUUACCUUGACGAAUUGUAGUUUAAAGAAGUGUUUUCUGCUGAAGUUUUGGUAAAAGUUCUUUGGAAUAGGACAUCAUAGAGGGUGAGAAUCCCGUAUUUGACCAUUAUUUUCAGCUUUGUGAUACACUUUCAAAGAGUCGGAUUGUUUGGGAAUGCAGUCCAAAAUGGGUGGUAAAUUUCAUCUAAAGCUAAAUAUUGGCGAGAGACCGAUAGCGAACAAGUACCGUGAGGGAAAGAUGAAAAGAACUUUGAAAAGAGAGUUAAACAGUACGUGAAAUUGUCAAAAGGGAAGCGUUUGACACCAGUGUUGUUUUCUCGAAAAUCAAUUAAAAAUGGCUCGAUUUUGUAUUGCUGAGACCUUAAAAGCUCACUGUACAUUUUUCGUGUCUUUUUUAAUGCACUUUUCGUUUAACAAGUCAACAUCAGUUUCUUUUGUUGUAAAAGGGUCAUUGGAAGGUGGCUUUCUUUCGGAGAAAGUGUUUAUAGCCUUUGGCCUCUGCAAUCGGAGAGACUGAGGUCUGCAGCGUAGACUCUUCGGGGUUAGAUACAUUUGUGCUAAGUUAUAGCUUUUUAUAGACAACUUGUUGACUAUAAUUAGUCUUGUAGCUUACUCGCUUACGCUAUUUUACCUACGCUUAGGAUGUUGAGUCGUAGAGCACGCAG